UUUGGAAUUCCCCAGAGUUUGUUGAGAAAGCAGCCAAUCAGACCCUGGGGAUCAUGGUUGAGAACGAGCCGCUACGUCCAGGUGCGGAAGUGUGCGGCCAAACUCCUCCUGUCCUUGAUGGGGAAAAUUGGAGUCACGAAGCUCGCAGACACACCCAGGGCUGAGAGCCUGGCACAGGUGGCAGGGAAACUUGCUCAGGACUGUCACAAGGACACAAGGCACUAUGGACAGGAGAUGGUGAAGAUGUUGCUAAAUCAUCAAAAAUUUAAAAGGCUUUUGGAGCAAUCUGUUUCUACCCAUGACCUGGAAGAUAUUCUGUCAAGAAUUAAGA